rnacentral:lncRNA from 1 species
CCAUACCUACCCCUUGCUGUUCGUCUUUCCCAAAGAACUUCAUCGCCUGACUAUCACACCCUCCGGCCUUUCUUUUUCCAAGGCCGAAUUCAACUGAAGUUGGAUUAGAAAAUCUGCCCCUCAAACUUUCCACCCUGGGAAACAACCCUUCCCAUCAAGCCUCUCAACCUCCACCUUCAACCCGCUGCUCUUGGUUGGCCAAACCACAGUAAAAAUAAAAAUAGAUCUGAAGCAU